rnacentral:rRNA from 1 species
UGGGGAAUGUUGGACAAUGGGCGAAAGCCUGAUCCAGCCAUGCCGCGUGUGUGAAGAAGGUCUUUGGAUUGUAAAGCACUUUAAGUUGGGAGGAAGGGCAGUAAGCGAAUACCUUGCUGUUUUGACGUUACCGACAGAAUAAGCACCGGCUAACUCUGUGCCAGCAGCCGCGGUAAUACAGAGGGUGCAAGCGUUAAUCGGAAUUACUGGGGGUAAAGCGCGCGUAGGUGGUUCGUUAAGUUGAAUGUGAAUGCCCCGGGCUCAACCUGGGAACUGCAUGCAAAACUGGCGAGGAAGAGUAGAGCAGAGGGUGGUGGAAUGUCCUGUGUAGCGGUGAGAUGAGUAGAUAAAGGAAGGAACACAAGUGGCGAAGGCGACCACCUGGGCUCAUACUGACACUGAGGUGAGAGAGCGUGGGGAGCAAACAGA